GCUGGCGGCGCGCUUAACACAUGCAAGUCGAACGCUUCGUUGUCCUUCGGGGCAGCGGGGAGUGGCGAACGGGUGCGUAACACGUGAGCGACCUGCCUUCAUCUGGGGGAUAACUGGGGGAAACCCCAGCUAAUACCGCAUGCGCCACGCUUCUACAUGGGGGUGUGGUCAAAGGCUUUGGCCGGGUGGAGAGGGGCUCGCGGCGUAUCAGCUGGUUGGUGAGGUAACGGCUCACCAAGGCGACGACGCGUAGCCGGUCUGAGAGGAUGAUCGGCCACAUUGGGACUGAGAUACGGCCCAGACUCCUACGGGAGGCAGCAGUGGGGAAUCUUGCGCAAUGGGCGAAAGCCUGACGCAGCGACGCCGCGUGAGGGAUGAAGGCCUUCGGGUUGUAAACCUCUGUCACCGGGGAAGAAACGCUGCAUUUUAAUAGAAUCAGCCUACUACCCGA
rnacentral:rRNA from 1 species